UCCAGUUGAUUGUAUCUGUUGCUACAAUAAAAUACAGGAGCAAUGACACUGUGCCAGUUUUGGGUCUAGCUCUAAUUGCUUUGGAAACUUCUGCAUCUUUUUUUUAGGAUACUCACUCUGGGAACACUCUCUCUCAUAGCCCUGAGCCACCAUGUAUGAAGUGCAGGCUUCCUGUUGGAGGGAAGAUCCGUGUGCAGAAGCCAUGGAAAGUAACACAGCACACAGAGCCCAGAGAGAGAAGCAGCAGGAGCUGGGCCUUCUGCAGCAGCUCCCAGCCCAGCUGCCAUCUUGCUCUGAGUGAGAGACUCCAGGAGUAAAGGAACUUCCCUGCUGAGACCCAGCCAACCCACAGAACUGUGAGAUGUCAUAGCAGCAGCUAUUGGUACAAGAUCAAGACUCAGUGAGAGAACAUUGGGAAUUCUAAACAUGUGAGCAACAAGAGGAGUUACAACAUCUUGGGGUUCAACAAACUGCAGCCUACCUGACUUCCAGUUUUUGUAAGUAAAUUUUUUUGGACCAUAGUUAUGUGCAUUUAUUUAAAUAUUGUGUAUGACUGAUUUCUUGCUAAAACAGCAGAGAUGAGAAGUUGCAGCAGAGA